GACCAAGAAGUCUAACAUGUGUGCGAGUCAUUGGGUAUAUUGUUGAAACCUAAGGGCGCAAUUAAAAUAACUAUUUUAUGGGAUUACAAGUGAAUUAAAUUUCAUUUCUUCAUCCCGGGGCGUUCUAUACGAACAUGGUUCAAGCAAUUGAAUCCUCUGUUCAAGAGCGUACCUUGAGCAUACAUGCUGUGACCCGAAAGAUGGUGAACUAUACCUGAUCAGAUCGAAGCCAGGAGAAAUUCUGGUGGAGGAUCGAAACAGUUCUGACGUGCAAAUCGAUUGUCAGAAUUGGGUAUAGGGGCGAAAGACCAAUCGAACCAUCUAGUAGCUGGUUCCCUCCGAAGUUUCCCUCAGGAUAGCUGGCGCAAAGAAUUAUAUUGUAUAUAAUCUUAUCUGGUAAAGCGAAUGAUUAGAGGCCUUGGGGCCGAAACGACCUCAACCUAUUCUCAAACUUUAAAUGGGUAAGAACCUCAUCUUUCUUGAUCUGAAGAUAUUGGGGUUUAGAUAUAUUGUGCCCAGUGGGCCACUUUUGGUAAGCAGAACUGGCGCUGUGGGAUGAACCAAACAUGAUGUUACGGCGCCUAAAUUGAUGACUCAUAUUGAUACCAUGAAAGGCGUUGGUUGCUUAAAACAGCAGGACGGUGGACAUGGAAGUCGUAAUCCGCUAAGGAGUGUGUAACAACUCACCUGCCGAAGCAACUAGCCCUUAAAAUGGAUGGCGCUUAAGUCAUAUGCCUAUACAUCAUCGCUAGAAUAGAAAUUGUUGGCCAUUCGGUCAUCAUUGUGAAAUUCUAGUGAGUAGGAGGGUACAAUGGUGUGCGCAGAAGUGUUUGGCGUGAGCCUGCAUGAAGCCGCCAUUGGCACAGAUCUUGGUGGUAGUAGCAAAUAAUCGAAUGAGAUCUUGGAGGACUGAAGUGGAGAAGGGUUUCGUGUGAACAGUGGUUGAUCACGAGUUAGUCGGUCCUAAGCUUUAUGCGAAAGCUGUUUAAUUUAUGUUACACACAAAAUUUUUGUUGUACAUAAUUCAAUAAAAGCGAAAGGGAAUACGGUUCCAAUUCCGUAACCUGUUGAGUAUACGUUUGUUUAUUAAAAAUGGGUCUUAUUACACUCAUCCUGGCAACAGGAACGACCAUAGAGAAGCCUUCGAGAGAUACUGGAAGAGUUUUCUUUUCUGCUAAACAAGCGUACCACCAUGGAAGUCUUUUAUAGAGAGAUAUGGUGGAUGGCUUGGAAGAGCAUGACAUUUACUGUUGUGUCAGUAUUUUCUCCUUGGACCUUGAAAAUCUAUGGUGGGGCCACGCAAACUUCUCAACAGACCGUACCGAUAUCCGCAG
rnacentral:rRNA from 1 species